rnacentral:rRNA from 1 species
GACGAACGCUGGCGGCGUGCCUAAUACAUGCAAGUAGAACGCUGAAGAGAGGAGCUUGCUCUUCUUGGAUGAGUUGCGAACGGGUGAGUAACGCGUAGGUAACCUGCCUUGUAGCGGGGGAUAACUAUUGGAAACGAUAGCUAAUACCGCAUAACAAUGGAUGACACAUGUCAUUUAUUUGAAAGGGGCAAUUGCUCCACUACAAGAUGGACCUGCGUUGUAUUAGCUAGUAGGUGAGGUAAUGGCUCACCUAGGCGACGAUACAUAGCCGACCCGAGAGGGUGAUCGGCCACACUGGGACUGAGACACGGCCCAGACUCCUACGGGAGGCAGCAGUAGGGAAUCUUCGGCAAUGGGGGCAACCCUGACCGAGCAACGCCGCGUGUGUGAAGAAGGUUUUCGGAUCGUAAAGCUCUGUUGUAAGUCAAGAACGGGUGUGAGAGUGGAAAGUUCACACUGUGACGGUAGCUUACCAGAAAGGGACGGCUAACUACGUG